UACGUAGGGUGCAAGCGUUAAUCGGAAUUACUGGGCGUAAAGCGUGCGCAGGCGGUUGUGCAAGACAGAUGUGAAAUCCCCGGGCUCAACCUGGGAAUUGCAUUUGUGACUGCACGGCUAGAGUGUGUCAGAGGGGGGUAGAAUUCCACGUGUAGCAGUGAAAUGCGUAGAUAUGUGGAGGAAUACCGAUGGCGAAGGCAGCCCCCUGGGAUAACGACUGACGCUCAUGCACAGAAAGCGUGGGGAGCAAACAGG
rnacentral:rRNA from 1 species